GUUUUUUUGUUGCUUGUAUAAAUGUUACUGUAGGUGUCAAUGAAGACGGAGAAUGGUCAAACAGUAAUGGUCCCACUCUUUCACAAUCACGAAAACAUAUAUGGGAAGCAUGUUUUCAGAUUUCUGUUAAACCAGUUUCAGGGAAGAAAGUAGAGCACAAUGGAAUCAAAGUUGAGCUGCUUGGUCAGAUAGGUGUGCUAUCUUUGUUUCUAUUGAUUUAAAUUCCCAACAUGCAAUGGUUGCUCACUUCGGUAGUUCUUCUGUGUAUGCUUUGUACUGAUAUAAUUUAUUUAUAUUAUUGCAAAACAGGUGUUUUGAUUAGGCUAACAUAGACUUACAUCUGACUAUCCUAUUGAAAGCACUAAUCUCCGAAAGACUUGCGAUAAUUUCCAAGGUAAAUCAUUCCAUUGAUUUGUGGAUGAACUUUUGUUGUCAAUGAAGUAAUUCAAAAAAAUUGUGCUUC